rnacentral:snRNA from 1 species
CAAUAAAAAUAUAUUAAAAAAAUAAAGUUGGGACGAUAGAGAUUAGCAUGACUCCUGUGCAAGGAUGACAUGCAAAUUGGUGAAGCAUUCCAUUAAAAA